rnacentral:rRNA from 1 species
AGCGGCGGACGGGUGAGUAACACGUGGGCAACUGCGUGUAAGACUGGGAUAACUUCGGGAAACCGGAGCUAAUACCGGAUAAUGUAUCUCCUCACAUGUGGAGAUACUGAAAGAUGGCUUCGGCUAUCACUUACAGAUGGGCCCGCGGCGCAUUAGCUAGUUGGUGAGGUAACGGCUCACCAAGGCGACGAUGCGUAGCCGACCUGAGAGGGUGAUCGGCCACACUGGGACUGAGACACGGCCCAGACUCCUACGGGAGGCAGCAGUAGGGAAUCUUCCGCAAUGGACGAAAGUCUGACGGAGCAACGCCGCGUGAGUGAUGAAGGUUUUCGGAUCGUAAAACUCUGUUGUUAGGGAAGAACAAGUAUCGUUCGAAUAGGGCGGUACCUUGACGGUACCUAACCAGAAAGCCACGGCUAACUACGUGCCAGCAGCCGCGGUAAUACGUAGGUGGCAAGCGUUGUCCGGAAUUAUUGGGCGUAAAGCGCGCGCAGGCGGUCCUUUAAGUCUGAUGUGAAAGCCCACGGCUCAACCGUGGAGGGUCAUUGGAAACUGGGGGACUUGAGUGCAGAAGAGGAGAGUGGAAUUCCACGUGUAGCGGUGAAAUGCGUAGAGAUGUGGAGGAACACCAGUGGCGAAGGCGACUCUCUGGUCUGUAACUGACGCUGAGGCGCGAAAGCGUGGGGAGCGAACAGGAUUAGAUACCCGGGUAGUCCACGCC